rnacentral:rRNA from 1 species
UACGAGUGCUCCAAGCGUUAUCCGGAAUCAUUGGGCGUAAAGGGUGUGUAGGCGGUUGUGUUAGUCUUUUGUUAAAUUCUUCGGCUUAACCGGGGGCAUGCGAAAGAAACGGCACAACUAGAGGAUGCGAGAGGUAUAUGGAACUCAUGGAGUAGGGGUGAAAUCCGUUGAUAUCAUGGGGAACACCAAAAGCGAAGGCAAUAUACUGGCGCACUCCUGACGCUGAGACACGAAAGCGUGGGGAGCAAACAGG